AGCCCCUCCCCUCCAGGCUGGGUUCACAGCCCUGCCCCCCACUCACUCUCCAGACUCCCCUCCAUCCCUAAGAACCCCAUUUUUUUAGAUCUCUCCAUUUCUGUUUACUCCAGGUCCCUCGUUACACCUGGGGACACUAAGCAGUCCUGCAGGAUGGGGUCAGGAGGAGGCUGCAGAGUCACAGAACAAGAUAAGAUUUGGGGCUCAGAUUCAGUUUCCCUCAAAGUGCCCCCACCCUUCCUACCCACAUGGUCCCAGUCUGGACACACACACCUCAAAUCUGGGAUGGCACAGGCCACGGUGGCUAAGGACAGGAUAAGGACCCAUUUCCCCAAGGUGACAUCCCCUGGCCCACAGCUGGUUUCCAUUCCCACAGGGCAGGGCCUGAGAACAAGCUGCAGCCUGUUCCUCUGCCCAGCAGGUGGGCAGGUCCAAUCAAGCCUCCCCUCCCUUUCUGUGACCUUCGGGUCACCUUUACUUAUGUGUUCUGCAGGCAGAAGACGUGAAAGUGUGUCCUCUCCCCUCCAAGGAGGCCUCUGUGGUCUGGAGGGAGCCGGGGGCUUGUUCUGCCAGCAACUGCUGAAUUGUAUUCAUAAAGACUGAAGGUUUUAAAAACAAGGUAAUAAGACGACUUGGCCCAUUGUGACAGCUAGGGACAGCAGACAGAACCAAAGGAAAACAUGGCAUCUCAACCUGCAACCCACACCUGCACGUCAGGCAGGUGGACCUCGCUCUUCCUAUGUCACCCUAUGUCACUGUGCCACCAACCGCCCCAGGGCCCAGGCUCUGCCUUCUGGAAAUCUCAGCUCAUAAGUGACAUUAGUUCAUAGCUCGUUUGUGUGGUUAUGACAAAAUACCGGAGGCCUGGGGACCUGCCAACAACAGGGACUCGUUGUUCAUAGUCAGUGUUGGGGGGGCGGCUUCCGAGAAACUAGGCAAUGCAAAGACCCCUCUUCAAACCCUGAUUCUUAUGAUCAUGUCAGAAGAGUUCAGACGUGUCACUCAAAGGAACAGGAAGGAGUUUAUUGAAGGGACAGGAAAAAGCCAAGAGGACACUCUCCAGGGAGAGAGUGGGUCCUUUCAGAGAGCAGAGGGACAAUGUGCCUCCCCUGCACUCCAGGUUCAUUGAGGAUCCCAGAGAAGUUUUCAGAGAGUCCCAGGCAGGUCCACCUCUUGGCUUUUGACUGACAGCAGGUUGACAUCAGACUCUCAAGUCCCCACUGCUAUGACAGUUUUAUGUCACCUUGGCCAUGCUGACCAGUUCUAAUCGGAUUCUUGGUCAUUUUUACAGGUUUUAGAGUUAAGAAGAAUUAUCCUUAUCUUCCAGAAUCUGGUCUGUGAAAAGGGUCACAGAAAUCUCUCCCUUCAAAAUAACUUGGGUUCCUCUUAUCAACGUGAUUUCCUGCCUGCAUUUCCUUGCAGAUAACAGGUAGCUUGCUGAGGAAUGUGACUUAUCCUGUCCAGUUAGGCCAGGCAGGGCUGCAGGUAAAUUGCUUUUUGGCAAAGAAAGCAUGUGGGGGUCCGCACAGUGGCCCACUUUAUAGAAUUAUCCCGCUAACCUCGUGUUCCCACCGUGCUCAUCUGUCUGUUCCCCUAACAGUUGUAGAGGCUGGAAAUCCAAAAUGAAGCUGCCAGGAUCUGGUAUCUGGC
rnacentral:lncRNA from 1 species